GCGACAGUUGCAGGAGAAGUAAGGGGGCCGCUCCUGCAUCUGACAUAGUGGAGGAAGGAUCGGCCCUGCUCCCAGCCGACAUGGCAGAGGAGGAGGUUCGGGCCGCGCUCCUGCCCCCAUCCUCCGCAGGAGACCUGGCCGCAUCAACAUCCUGGCAGCUCUGGCGGUGAGAAGGAGAAGAGCUGGCAGGCAGGUCCACCCCAGCUGCAGCACCGCUAACAGCCGCCGACCACCUCCAGGAUACUCGUGGUUCAUGAGGGGGCAACGCAGCUGCUGCAGGCACCCGGGUGUUGAUGGGACUCCACACCUAGUGCCGGCAUUUAGGAGCCACCUCAGGACUGAAGCACAAUGGAGCUCAGGAGCGCCUCGUCCCGUGAUGUCGACCUGAAGGGGGGCCCGACACCUCUCCCCCUCCGCUCCCCAGCAGCUGUUCAACCUGCCCCUGAAGCCAAGCCUCACCAUGGAUGGUGGACGCAGAACGUAGCCAGAGCAGCAAGUCUUUCACGGAAGACAUGGCGGGCUGUCGUCAAGAGAAGGAGUGACACCUUGGCCGGACCAGGCCCCGAAAAACUUGAUCAGUACACAUCACAGUGAUGUCUAGUGGUACGCCUCCCGCACCUGAGAGCUUUGGCUCUUGCUCCCCGCACCUCCAGCCAUUGACUUGCGGUCUGCUGUAUGGACACUUGGAAUAAAGCAUCGUUCGGCAAACACUUCUCAGUGGGAUAUCAGUGUCUGAGCCACAUCUUCAGAUGAAUGUGUCUUGAGAAUAGCAAACAGGGAUUGGUGGGGCCGUUUGUCCUCCUGCAGUCCAUGAGCAACUGAUUGGCCAGCUCCUCUGCUCAUUCUGCCAGCAAAUAUCUGAGGACAGAACAUGCAAUGUAUUCUUACAGUGACAGCUACAGCGUUGAAAAUCAGCAGGUGCCAAUUUGAUUGAACCUUCUUUUGAGUUUCCCCAUGUAAAUAACAUCUUAAGUAAUCUGCCAUCAGACACAAGUUACUCCUUCCACUAAAGAAGAAAAAGCUUUUUGGAGACUUGAAUUCAGGAACCUGUAUACAAGUGAUGAGAAGGGGAUAUUGAACACGAGGGUCCUGGCCAGGGAGAACUGCAUUGGAAUUCAUGCUGCAUUCUUCCGUACUCAUUAAAUGGUUCUUGUGUACCAAAAAAUGUUUUAAAUGAAAUUUGAAGGGACAGCAGUGACAGAAAUCUCAAAUAACCUAUGAACUCUUUCCAAGUAUAGAGGUUAUUUUUGUAAUAUUUUUGUUCAGAAUGUUAACUAUUUCACAAAGGUUCUGUUAACCCUUUGGCAUACAUCUGUAGCUUCAUACGUGUAAAACAACACGUUAACCACUGUUAUUAAGUAUGUUCAGAUUAUCUCUAAAAAUAACCCAUCAUACCAAAGGGACAUGACCUGUCAUUAUCACAAUACACUGAAUAGGUAAAUGCAAUACUGAUGAGCGCAGCCAGAAAAUCAACAAUAAAAUGAAAUGAUCUGCAUUCACAUAAUGUAUUUCUUAUUGGUGUUGUUCACUUUUCCAUCUAGACAAGACUGGCCUGAAGGGUAUGAUGCAUCCAUACAGAGUUUACUUCCCAGGCAUCUUCUACUACUCCAUUUUGCAUGACAUAUUUUCCAUAACAGCCACAAUGCAACUGAUGGCACCCACAAUGCCCUGUGACAGCCAUACUGCUGCUUCAACAGCCACAGUACACCCCAUAGCAGCCACUCUGCUUUCAUGAGCACAACGGUGGCCCUCAUGAAAGACUCAAACAGCGGCAGGUUAUGAAAUGGACAGUUUAGGCAGCCGUCUUGGAGUUCCAUUCCCAAACCACCCACCAUAUCAAAAGGAAGAAAGUUCCAUUGCAUUUAAAGUGUGGGCGCCAUAGUGCCUGAGCUGCCGUGGGCUGCUCUUAAAGGGGUACUGUGGGAAACUGAAAAUAUUCCCCUAUCCACAGUAUAGGGAAUAAAAGAGUGAUCAAGCGAGUGGUUUCUGACUGCAGGGACCGCAAUCUCCUGUAUCAUGCCCUACUACU